GAGAGCUCUCAUUUCCCCCCCUUGCUCGGGAUGGUGCCACAGGAGGCUGUGCGGGCCCCGCUCCGCUUCGAAUGGAUACAGUUAAGCUAAUGAUCUCCAGAGGAUAUCGUCCUGGAUAAGGGUGGAGCCUACGCCCAAAAAUGAGAUUGCCUGAAAGAGAAAAGAAAGGGGGAAAACACACAGAGAUACAGUCAGGGAGGCCACAUGAAGAUGGAGGCAGAGACAGGAGUGAUGAGCCUGCAAGCCAAGGAAUGCCAAGGGCUGCCAGCAGCCAUGAGAAGCUGAGAGACACAGAGAACGAGUCCUCUGCCAGAGCCUCCAGAAGGAGCUAACCCUGUCAAUACCUUGAUUUCGGACUUCUGGACUCCAGAACUGUGAGAGAAUAUAUUUCUGUUGUUUUAAGCCAUUCAGUUUGUAGUAAUUGGUUACAAUAGCCAUGGGAAGCUAACAUAGGGUCCUUCAACAAUCAAAGCAAAAAAGGGGACCUAUUAGCACAUGGAGUGCAAGGGAGGAAGGAAUGACUGAGCUGUUUGAAAGUGCAGCGGGAUGUCAUGGGCAACCAGAACUCAGGUCCAAAUUCUGCCAGAACUCUCCCUCUGUGUUAGUCUAUUCUCACACUGCUAAUAAAGACAUACCUGAGACUGGCUAAUUUAUAAAGGAAAGAGGUUCAAUUGACUCACAGUUCUGCAGGGCUGCGGGGGGGACUCAGGAAACUUACAAUCAUGACAAAAGUGGAAGCAAACACAUCCUCCUUCACGUGGCAGCAAGGAGAGUGCCGAGCCAAAGGGGGAAAAGCCCCUUAUAAAACCAUCAGAUUUCAUGAGAACUCACUCACUAUCAUGAGCACGGCAGCAUGGGGAUAACUGCCCCCACGAUUCAAUUACCUCCCACCAGGUCCCUACCAAGACACGUGGAGAUUAUGGGAAUUACAAUUCAAAAUGAAAUUUGG
rnacentral:lncRNA from 1 species